rnacentral:sRNA from 10 species
GGGAAAAUAGGUGGAAAUUCAAAAAUCAAGUGAAAAAAGGUGGUGAGUCAAUUGUUUCGGGUAAGAGACUGCACCUGAGGGCGGAGGAUAGGAGUAUUUCUACUCCUAAUACUUGGCAGGUUUUCGUUGACCAUCCUAUUAGAGGGGCUCGGUAAACCCGGCUAAUUUCUUUUACCUCUGUGGGAGAGGUGCGUAAGGUAACUCUUGUGGAGGAGUUUGAGUCCACUUCACGCUUUACCACCACGUGAAAGUAAGAUCCAGCCAACGUUAAGGGACGGCUGUUUUAUAUGAAUAAGUCGUUUUAACAGCCUUGGUGGACUCGAGUGGAUGCUUUGAUGACGAUCAAGUAUCCCCAAGGAUGAGUUUUGGCAUGAGCCAAAUUUUAUGAGAAACAUAAGCCUUGAAAAUCAUUUUAAUUGAAUUAUAAUUGUUUU